rnacentral:rRNA from 1 species
CUACGGGCGGCUGCAGUGGGGAAUCUUGCGCAAUGGGCGAAAGCCUGACGCAGCAACGCCGCGUGCGGGAUGAAGGCCUUCGGGCUGUAAACCGCUUUCAGCAGGAACGAAAAUGACGGUACCUGCAGAAGAAGGAGCGGCCAACUACGUGCCAGCAGCCGCGGUGACACGUAGGCUCCAAGCGUUGUCCGGAUUUAUUGGGCGUAAAGAGCUCGUAGGCGGUUGAGUAAGUCGGGUGUGAAAACUCUGGGCUUAACCCGGAGACGCCAUCCGAUACUGCUCUGACUAGAGUUCAGGAGGGGAGUGGGGAAUUCCUAGUGUAGCGGUGAAAUGCGCAGAUAUUAGGAGGAACACCGGUGGCGAAGGCGCCACUCUGGACUGAAACUGACGCUGAGGAGCGAAAGCGUGGGGAGCGAACAGGAUUAGAUACCCUCGUAGUC